AGAACGGAUACAGACGAUUUCGUCACAUUAAUUAUUAUACAUUGUAUAUUCGUACUUUAUCCUUAAAAUAUUCAUCAAAUGUGCGGAUAAAAUUGUCAUAAGGGUCAAAUUUUCUAUUACUGGGGAGUGAGAAUGAGUUUUGCUGAUGAAAUAUUUGUUAAAAGACAGCAACUGAAGCACUUCUCGACUGUUUAACUCAUACUGAUGGCACAAAGGUUUUAACAAGCAACUUGACUUGUGGGGACAAAGUC